rnacentral:rRNA from 1 species
AUUGAACGCUGGCGGCAGGCUUAACACAUGCAAGUCGAGCGGAGAUGAGGUGCUUGCACCUUAUCUUAGCGGCGGACGGGUGAGUAAUGCUUAGGAAUCUGCCUAUUAGUGGGGGACAACAUUCCGAAAGGAAUGCUAAUACCGCAUAAGGUCUAAGGGAGAAAGCAGGGGAUCUUCGGACCUUGCGCUAAUAGAUGAGCCUACGUCUGAUUAGCUAGUUGGUGGGGUAAAGGCUCACCAAGGCGACGAGCUGUAGCCGGUCUGAGAGGAUGAUCCGCCCCACUGGGACUGAGACACGGCCCAGACUCCUACGGGAGGCAGCAGUGGGGAAUAUUGGACAAUGGGGGAAACCCUGAUCCAGCCAUGCCGCGUGUGUGAAGAAGGCCUUAUGGUUGUAAAGCACUUUAAGCGAGGAGGAGGCUACUGAGACUAAUACUCUUGGAUAGUGGACGUUACUCGCAGAAUAAGCACCGGCUAACUCUGUGCCAGCAGCCGCAGUAA